rnacentral:snRNA from 1 species
GAAACAUCUAAUAAAAUUGGAACAAUAAAGAGAAGAUUAGCAUGACCCCUGUGCAAGGAUGACACACA